rnacentral:tRNA from 1 species
AAGGGAGACCUAAUUCAGGUAGGAGACGAAAAAAAAGUAGUCCCUACCAAGAAUCAAUCCCAAAAGGUCGGAGCGAGGCAAAAUUGGCUUUCAAACUAGGUUCUGGGUUCACACAAGACCUGAAUCAGGAACAAGGGCUAUUAGCUCAGGUGGUUAGAGCGCACCCCUGAUAAGGGUGAGGUCCCUGGUUCGAGUCCAGGAUGGCCCACCUGCACAGGUGGCAAAAACAAAGAAAAGAAGCGAGGAAUCAGCACCUUAUCUUACUUAUAUAGUAAGAGAGAAUGCUGGCUCUGAGUUCAGAGUCCAGAGGAACCUUGAAAACUGCAUAGAGCUAGGUGAAAAAGCCAAAAAAGAAGACCACAA